rnacentral:rRNA from 1 species
CAGCCUGCCCAGUGAAAAAUUCAACGGCCGCGGUAUCCUAACCGUGCAAAGGUAGCAUAAUCACUUGUUCUUUAAAUAAGGACUUGUAUCAACGGCAUCACGAGGGUUGCACUGUCUCCUCUCUCCAAUCAGUGAAACUGAUCUUCCCAUGAAAAAGUGGGAAUAGAUCUAUAAGACGAGAAGACCCCAUGGAGCUUUAAGCCUAUAGCAACUUAGCAAAAUAUUUCUUAUCAGCUAUACAAAACAUGUUUAUAAGCUUUAGGUUGGGAGGACCGCGGAGUAAAAAAUAACCUCCGCAACGAAAAGACCUAAGUCUUUACCAGAGAGCCACAACUCUAGGAAUAGCAAACUAACGUGAACUGACCCGAUAUCGAUCAAUGAACCAAGUUACCCUGGGGAUAACAGCGCAAUCCAUUCUAAGAGUCCAUAUCGACGAAUGGGCUUACGACCUCGAUGUUGGAUCAGGGUAUCCUGGUGGUGCAGCCGCUACCAAAGGUUCGUUUGUUCAACGAUUAAAACCCUACGUGAUCUGAGC